rnacentral:rRNA from 1 species
CCUACGGGAGGCAGCAGUGGGGAAUAUUGCACAAUGGGGGGAACCCUGAUGCAGCGACGCCGCGUGGGUGAGGAAGUACUUCGGUAUGUAAAGCCCUAUCAGCAGGGAAGAAAAUGACGGUACCUGACUAAGAAGCCCCGGCUAACUACGUGCCAGCAGCCGCGGUAAUACGUAGGGGGCAAGCGUUAUCCGGAUGUACUGGGUGUAAAGGGAGCGUAGACGGCGUGGCAAGUCUGGUGUGAAAGGCCGGGGCUCAACCCCGGGACUGCAUUGGAAACUGGCAUGCUGGAGUGCAGGAGGGGAAGGCGGAAUUCAUAGGGUAGGGGUGAAAUGGGUAGAUAUUAGGAGGAAAA